ensembl:lncRNA DHRS4-AS1 DHRS4 antisense RNA 1
GGGGCAGCCCAGAACACUGGGGAGACUAGAUCGAUAGGGCUGCACAGAGGUGGCACAGUUGUGCCAGAGGUAGCAGGGACAGGAGGGCUGGCAAGGGAGGGUCCAGGGCUAGGGGAUUCGGAGUGGCUUCAGGCGGACCACGUGGCUACCUUUUUUCCAGGGCCAGACUUUGGCAGCGUGUAAGGUCUGAGGACAGGGGCACCGGAGGCCGAGGAUGAGAGGCCAGUGCCUGUUUCCAGGCAGCCAGGGCCUCAGAAACUCCGGCCGGAGCACUCACCCGUCGGUGGAGGCCGUUACCAGGGCCACCUUAUUUGCGAGCGGGUCCCGGCGGGUCAUCCCGGAGCUGGCCAUCCGCACCGAAUUCCAAGCCCGGGCACAGAGGCCUAGCAGCCCCGCCUUGUGCAUGGAUCAGACCAGCAAGUAUGGGUUCCACUCUUCCCAGGGGCGGUGACAGAGUAGGGCGAGGGGCAGGACGAAGGGCGGGCCGAUUCCCUGCCCGCCCUGCUCCCCGCCCCGGUACCGCUGUGAGCGGUCUGUGGCCCUGGGCACCUCCAUCCGCCGCGGCGCCCCUCCACCAUCUACCUUCCGCCUGACUGGGGCUUGCCUUUCCGGGCUGGCGGGUGCCACUUCGGAUAAACCCUUUGGACUCCUAACUCCAAUCAGGUGUCUGCUUUGUUGAGGACUCACAGACACAGUCUCCUUUCUUCAAGAUCUUUACAAUGCAAGACCUCACUAACACACAGGGAUGGUCUCCCAGAGGGUCUGUGCUGUUCCUUCACUCAGAACAUCAAGAUGCACUGAAGUAAGGAUCCUCUAUUCUACAGUUCCUGCUAGCUGAGCUAUUCCAUGGGGGCUUCAGCAGGAAAUUCCAAGGUUGGCUUUGACAAGCUAAGGCCGGCUGGUGGAGCACAUCGAGUUCUGGAGGUUCAUGUGUGUUUUCAUGAAGAUCUGUCUGCCCGUAGCAGAUAAAGAGUUGUUGCCCCACUCCUCCUGGGGUCUUCUAUUUUCCUGGGAGGAAUUUCUGGAUUAACUGAACACACACACACACACACACACCCUUUUGAAGCAUCAACAGUAAUUCUGAGUUCUUAGGGACAAUGCAGAUUAAAUCCACAAUAAGAAAGACAACUAUGGCCAGGUGUGGUGGCUCACGCCUGUAAUCCCAGAACUUUGGGAGGCUGAGGCGGAUGGAUCACCUGAGGUCAGGAGUUAGAGACCAACCUGACCAACAUGGAGAAACCCCGUUUCUACUAAAAAUGCAAAAUUAGCCGGGCAUGGUGGCAGGCGCCUGUAAUCCCAAAUACUCGGGAGGCUGAGGCAGGAGAAUCACUUAAACCCGGGAGGCAGAGGUUGCAGUGAGCCAAGAUCGCGCCAUUGCACUCCAGCCUGGGCAAGAAGAGCAAAACUCCAUCUCAAAAAAAAAAAAAGAGUACUAUUGAUCCAGAGGUGACCAGACUAGCCUCACUGGAGAUAAUAGGUGACAUUAUUAUGCAAAGUGGUUUCAGUUCCCUUGUCUUGUUUUUGGAAUAGUAUAAGAGGCCUACAAUACGAAUAAAUAAGGCCCAUCACAAGCCUCACCAAAGGACAAAACUAAUCCACUUCUGAAGAAGGCUCUUUGUUGGGCCAGAUCAAAUCCUUGGACAGAACUGUACUCUUAAUCUCUGUAGUGAAAGUGGGGGGUAGUUUAAGAAUUUAUUAACCUUCUACCUUGAGCAAUCCCUCAGAAGUAAGAGGUGUCAGGCCUCUGAGCCGAAGCUCAGCCAUUGUAACCCCUGUGACCUGCACAUAUAUGUCCAGAUGGCCUGCAGGAGCCAAGAAGUCUGGGGCAGCUGAAAAACCACACAAGAAGUAAAACAGCCAGUUCCUGCCUUAACUGAUUAACCAACAUUACAACAUUCCACCAUUGUGACCUGUCCCUGUCCUACCUUAACUGAUCAAUCGACCUUGUGACAGUCUUCUUCUGGACAAUGGGUCUUAUCAUCUCCCCACCAUGUACCUUGUGACCCCCUCCUCUGCUAACAAUAGAUAACCACUUUUUACUGUAAUUUUCCAUUACCUACCCAACUCCUAUAAAGCAACCCCUUCCCCAUCUCCCUUCACUGACUCUGUUUUCAGACUCAGCCCACUUGCACUCAAGUGAAUAAACAGCCUUGUUGCUCACACAAAGCCUGUUGGUGGUCUCUUCACACAGAUGUGCUUGACAAAAGGGAAGGGUGGAUUUGUCCUUCUGGUUACAUAUGUUCUGCUCACUCAUUUUGAAUUUAAUUAAACAAGGAUUGCCCUUACCUUUUCAUACUUUGUAAGAAACCAUAAAUACUUAUGCACCAUGAUUUUUUUAAAGAAACACUUUUUAUUUUGAAGUAAUUAUAGUCUCAUAGGAAGUUGCAAAAGUAGUACAUAGAGUCCCUGAGUACUCUUCCCCCAGUGGUGACAACUGUAGUAUAAUAUCAAUUCUGGGAAAUUGACAUUGGUACAAUACCAAAUAUACUAUGCCUUUUUCUCUAAGGCAUGAUGUUGCAGUAGCAUCCUUGUACAUGUAGCUAGGAGAACUUGUACUAAGCCCAGAUAAAUAGUUGAAGUACAAGGGCAAGGAGUGUGUCUUUGAUAUUUUAAUAGAAAUCACCUAUUGCCCUCUAGAAAAGCUGUACCCUUUUCCAGUGGCAGAGAACCUUCCUGAAAGGCAGUCCUGUGUAAUGGUGUCCAUUUCAUCACACCCUUAAAACACUCAGCUUUAACAAACAUGCAGAUUUUUGCUGAUGUGGGAGAAAAUAUUAAUUAUUAAUGAUAUUAAGGUGAUUAUCUUUUCGUAUGUUUAUAGAUAUUUGUAUUUCUUUUUAAAUGAACUGCUCAUGACCUUUGUCUACUUUUAUUUGGGUUUACUUCUUUCUCAUUUAUUCCUAUAAACUCUUUAUAAAAGGAAAUUAACCAUUUGAUUGUCAUAUGUUGUGAAUAUUUUUACCAUUUUGACUUUUGAAUUUAUGUCUUUUUAAUGAAUUGUAGAAGUUUAAAAUCUUUAUGGAAUAAAUUUAUU